UGGAUCUCUUGCUAUCUGGUUCAAUAUGCUGUUUGCAAUAAUACAUAUCUUGAAUUUUGGCAGUGCAUAAAUUGAUCUGUUCAAGCAAUCAGCGACACUUCUAAUAAAAUAAAAUGAACAAACACUUUUAUACUGUGAACUAUGAUAUACUAAAUUGUAAAUUGUACUGACAUGAAUGAUUUUUGGCUGUGACAUGAACAAUUACGUCAAUUAUGCAGAAAUUCUGGUGUGCAUGUGUCUGUUGAACCUACAAAUAUUCGGGACUCCUUGUAUCGAGCAUCAGUUAAUUUGGUUUUAGAUGCUUGCAGCAAGUGUGAUCUUCAUAGUCUUGCGUCUGUGUCUCUUUCUUUACUGCUAGAUAGCAGCUGUUAAUGAUGUUGUGUACUUCUAUUUUAAUGAUUAUUUUGUUUAUAUUCAGUGCACCGACUUACUCUACUUCAUUUCAUAUUAAUGGCGACGAUUCUCAACAAUUCCUAGCUGGGUUUGCUGAAAACAUUGGCCUUGGAAAUGUUCAUGCCGCAACAAUUCUGCAGCUGUAGCUGCCUGCAUACGUUCUUGGAUUUUGCAGGCGUGGGUAAUUUUCUUACUCUUAUUCUUAUGAUAUGGUAAUCUUGUCUUUUAGCCUAUGGAUUUCUACAAGAUUUUAUUACUGUAACUACUAGCAUUCUGAAGGUAGUUAUAUUUUCAAUUGGAAUAUCAUUGGCUAUCUGAAUUUGUUUCUGUUACUUGAAAUAUGUCCUAAAUCCGGGAUAUUCAUUCUAUGCUAUCACCAUUUGAGGUUUCAAUAAUUUAUAUUGUGAAGUAUGAUACACUGAACUGUUAUGGAUUCUACAAUUUGACAAGCUUUUUAAUGCUAAGGCUGCUUCUUAAACACCUACAAAUUACUUUGAAGCUCCUAAAGAUAAGCUAGUUGAGGUCGAGGAGGAUUGGGCAACCUUUAUGGUCAAGUAUAUUAGAGAAAAUGUUGCUGGUAGAUUUAUUAACUAAACAUUGGAUAGCUUGACACGAGUUCUCUUAAAUUUAGGUGUUUUUUCGUUGGUAAUUGUGGAUUGAUUCAUAUCAUGAAAUUUUUAGUUAAGUUUAUGAUCAAUUUGUAAUGAGA